UUACGGCCAUAUCACGUUCCAACAUCGGAUCCCAUAUGACUACCGAAGUUAAGUAACGUUAAGCCUGGUUAGUACCUAGAUGGGUGACCGCUUGGGAAUACCAGGUGCUGUAA